UUUAGCAUGGAAUAAUAAAAUAGGACUUCGGUUCUAUUUUGUUGGUUUCUAGGACCUUAGUAAUGAUUGAUAGGGAUAGUUGGGGGUGCUAGUAUUCAGCGGCCAGAGGUGAAAUUCUUGGAUUCGCUGAAGACUAACUACUGCGAAAGCAUUCACCAAGGAUGUCUUCUUUAAUCAAGAACGAAAGUUGGGGGAUCGAAGACGAUCAGAUACCGUCGUAGUCUCAACCAUAAACUAUACCGACUAAGGAUCAGCGGGCGUCUCUUUUUGACCCCGUUGGCACUUUAUGAGAAAUCAAAGUCUUUGGGUUCCGGGGGGAGUAUGGUCGCAAGGCUGAAACUUAAAGGAAUUGACGGAAGGGCACCACCAGGAGUGGAGCCUGCGGCUUAAUUUGACUCAACACGGGGAAACUCACCAGGUCCAGAAAUCUAGA
rnacentral:rRNA from 1 species